AGAGCUGUAACUAAGUUGGUAGAAUGCUUGCCUAGCAUGCAUGAAGCCCUGGGUUCCAUCCCCAGCAACACUU
rnacentral:tRNA from 1 species